rnacentral:rRNA from 1 species
CCUACGGGAGGCAGCAGUGAGGAAUAUUGGUCAAUGGGCGCGAGCCUGAACCAGCCAAGUCGCGUGAGGGAAGACGGUCCUAUGGAUUGUAAACCUCUUUUGUCGGGGAGCAAAAGACGCCACGCGUGGCGUUCCGAGAGUACCCGAAGAACAAGCAUCGGCUAACGCCGUGCCAUCAGCCGCGGUCAUACGGAGGAUGCGAGCGUUAUCCGGAUUGAGUGGGUUUAAAGGGUGCGCAGGCGGAAGAUCAAGUCAGCGGUAAAAUUGAGAGGCUCAACCUCUUCGAGCCGUUGAAACUGGUGGUCUUGAGUGAGCGAGAAGUAUGCGGAAUGCGUGGUGUAGCGGUGAAAUGCAUAGAUAUCACGCAGAACUCCGAUUGCGAAGGCAGCAUACCGGCGCUCAACUGACGCUCAUGCACGAAAGUGUGGGUAUCGAACAGGAUUAGAUACCCGGGUAGUC